GUCGAGCGGUCCUUCGGGACAGCGGCGAACGGGUUAGUAACGCGUGGGAACGUGCCCUUUAGUACGGAAUAGCCAUUGGAAACGAUGAUUAAUACCGUAUACGCCCCAAGGGGGAAAGAUUUAUCGCUAAAGGAUCGGCCCGCGUUAGAUUAGGUAGUUGGUAGGGUAAUGGCCUACCAAGCCGACGAUCUAUAGCUGGUUUGAGAGGAUGAUCAGCAACACUGGGACUGAGACACGGCCCAGACUUCUACGGAAGGCAGCAGUAGGGAAUCUUGGACAAUGGGCGAAAGCCUGAUCCAGCCAUGCCGCGUGAGUGAUGAAGGCCCUAGGGUUGUAAAGCUCUUUCGCCAGGGAAGAUAAUGACGGUACCUGGUAAAGAAACCCCGGCUAACUCCGUGCCAGCAGCCGCGGUAAUACGGAGGGGGUUAGCGUUGUUCGGAAUUACUGGGCGUAAAGCGCACGUAGGCAGAUUAAUAAGUCAGGGGUGAAAUCCCGAGGCUCAACCUCGGAACUGCCUUUGAUACUGUUAAUCUUGAGUUCGAGAGAGGUGAGUGGAAUUCCGAGUGUAGAGGUGAAAUUCGUAGAUAUUCGGAGGAACACCAGUGGCGAAGGCGGCUCACUGGCUCGAUACUGACGCUGAGGUGCGAAAGCGUGGGGAGCAAACAGGAUU
rnacentral:rRNA from 1 species